UAAAGAUGGGCAUGCGUGACAUUAGCUAGUUGGUAAGGUAACGGCUUACCAAGGCUACGAUGUCUAGGGGUUCUGAGAGGAUGAUCCCCCACACUGGUACUGAGACACGGACCAGACUCCUACGGGAGGCAGCAGUGAGGAAUAUUGGUCAAUGGGCGCAAGCCUGAACCAGCCAUCCCGCGUGCAGGAUGAAGGCCCUAUGGGUCGUAAACUGCUUUUAUACACCAAGAAAAAUUCCGACGUGUCGGGACUCGACGGUAGUGUAUGAAUAAGCAUCGGCUAACUCCGUGCCAGCAGCCGCGGUAAUACGGAGGAUGCAAGCGUUAUCCGGAUUCAUUGGGUUUAAAGGGUGCGUAGGCGGCUUUUUAAGUCAGUGGUGAAAUCUUGCCGCUUAACGGUAAAAUUGCCAUUGAUACUGAAGAGCUUGAGUACAUUUGAGGUAAGCGGAAUGUGUAGUGUAGCGGUGAAAUGCUUAGAUAUUACACAGAAACCAAUUGCGAAGGCAGCUUACUAAAUGUUACUGACGCUGAUGCACGAAAGCGUGGGGAGCGACAGGAUUAGAUACCCUGGUAGUCCACGCCGUAAACGAUGCUCACUCGCUGUUUGCGAUACACAGCAAGCGGCCAAGCGAAAGCAUUAAGUGAGCCACCUGGGGAGUACGAUCGCAAGGUUGAAACUCAAAGGAAUUGACGGGGGCCCGCACAAGCGGAGGAACAUGUGGUUUAAUUCGAUGAUACGCGAGGAACCUUACCUGGGCUUAAAUGUAGAGCGACAGAUUGUGAAAGCAGUCCUUCUUCGGACGAUCACAAGGUGCUGCAUGGUUGUCGUCAGCUCGUGCCGUGAGGUGUCGGGUUAAGUCCCAUAACGAGCGCAACCUUAUCGUUAGUUGCCAGCGGGUUAAGCCGGGGACUCUAGCGAGACUGCCACCGUAAGGUGUGAGGAAGGUGGGGAUGACGUCAAAUCAGCACGGCCCUUAUGUCCAGGGCUACACACGUGUUACAAUGGCCGAUACAA
rnacentral:rRNA from 1 species